GGGGAAUUUUGGACAAUGGGCGAAAGCCUGAUCCAGCCAUGCCGCGUGCAGGAUGAAGGCCUUCGGGUUGUAAACUGCUUUUGUACGGAACGAAAAGACUCCUUCUAAUAAAGGGGGUCCAUGACGGUACCGUAAGAAUAAGCACCGGCUAACUACGUGCCAGCAGCCGCGGUAAUACGUAGGGUGCAAGCGUUAAUCGGAAUUACUGGGCGUAAAGCGUGCGCAGGCGGUUAUAUAAGACAGAUGUGAAAUCCCCGGGCUCAACCUGGGAACUGCAUUUGUGACUGUAUAGCUAGAGUACGGUAGAGGGGGAUGGAAUUCCGCGUGUAGAGGUGAAAUUCGUAGAUAUUCGGAAGAACACCAGUGGCGAAGGCGGCUCACUGGCUCGGUACUGACGCUGAGGUGCGAAAGCGUGGGGAGCAAACA
rnacentral:rRNA from 1 species